UGAUUUUUGGAUUUACCCUGUUUUACAUAACAUUGGACCUGCCCAGCAGGUACACAGUUGUAAGUCUGAAACAUUUAGGUUAGCAAGCUGGUGGAAAUCACAGAGAAUCUACUUGAUGUUUUAGGAAUUUUAGAGAUAUUGUUUUGUUUAAGAUGUUUAUGUAUAGUUAUGGUAAAUAAGAAUGACAAGAAGAAUCACCUUGGACAAGAAGAUAUACAACAAAAUCAGGCUAGUGGGACCAGUUCUUACUUUGAGAUGCCAGGUGAAUAAUGAUAUGCAGUAUUGAGCCUGAAAAGGUGAACACAGCCACAUGAAGUUCUCCGAGGAAAUAGAAGCAGAGCACUGAAACAGACAUCAAUAAAAGAAAAAGCAGUUUGAAUAAUCAGAAACAUUUGAUCAAAUUUAUGAUUUGAACAGUUCCUCACCGACAGACUUCCAGCAAAAUAAUUGUAUAAAUAAAAUGUUUGAUUCCAAGAAAACCAGUAAAAAACAAAAACUUGCAGCUAGAAAUGAAUAUUGUUUUUGUUAUAGUGAAUGUAAGAUGAUUGAACUGAAGGAUAUGUAUGUUGAAUUUUGUAUUUUGCUCAUUUAUAUGACUAUGAAUAUAAAUUAAUAAACAUUUUUAAAAUUAAAUUACUAAACUUUUAUUUUAUUUCAAGCUUUUUUGACAUCAAGCAACAUAUAUGCGACUUACAUGUGACUUAUAUGUUACUUAUAAGUGACUUAUAUUAGGUCACUUAUAUGUAACAUAUAAGUCACUUAUAUGUAACAUAUAAGUCACUUAUAUGUUACUUAUAAGUUGAGCAUAUCUUUUACUUACAUGUCACAUAUUUGUGACUUAUAUAUAACUUAUACUUCACUUAUAUGUCAAAAUGCCAGACAUAUACUGCACUUACAUCUAAUUUGCAUUUAAAAUACAUAUACUUGACUUAUAGGUGAAUUGACUAAGUGAAGUAUAAUCUACAUAUAAAAUAGCCUAUAAGUGACUUAUAAGUGAAUUCCGUAAGGGUAUACAG